CCCCCAAAAUCAAUUUCCCAUUCCAAAAUCAACUUCCCUCUACAAACUAGGGCAACUUGAAUUCUAAAAUUCUUCCAUCCUCAUCUUCUAAGGUCAGAUUGCUGGCAAAUUCCCUCCCAUCGCUAUUUCUGCCUUUGUCAGAUCAAAACUAGUCACCUAGCUACCGGAAUCGAGUGUUGGUUGCGAUUGGUAUAAGCGAAUGAUUCCGUUGAUGCUAAUUAGUGGAUAAGUAGUCCGAUUUGGUUGGUAGAUCUUUGUCUGAAAGUGCAUUAACUGCUCUUCAAUUUUUUGCUUUCAUGAUGCAGUGGCUCUUAAAGUCUACAACAAACAUACAAACUUCACACAAAAACUUGCAGAUAUUUUAGCGAGAACAUGUCAUGGCAAGCGUACGUCAAUGAGCACUUGAUGUGCGAGAUCGAAGGCAAUCACCUCACUGCUGCCGCUAUUAUCGGUCAUGACGGCCGUAUUUGGGCUCAAUCCGCUAGUUUCCCUCAGGAAUGACGUGCCAACCACCCUGACACCGGGCGUUGUGGUCAAGGUCCACUACUCGACCGCUGCCAGCCCCUUGGUCUCCCAGAUGCGCGGAAACCCGACCACCCGCGCAAAGGCACGACAGUGGAAUAAAUUAUGACUUAACAACUUGGUUCUUAACUUUUUUAAAUAUGUUAAUGUACUGCCAGUUUGAUGCUCUUGUCCCUAAAAGUUAACUUGAUGGUGAAAUGGGUGAUGCUCAUAUGGCGAUGCAGGCUAGGCUUAUGAGCCAUGUCAUUUAGAACUUUAGUUGCUUUCUUCAUGUGCCACUAAGAUGCGUAUACUUUCAAAUGGAUACUAUUAUUAUGACAUGCUAUAUUUGGUACCAUUUUCAUCUUACCAAAACCUAUCACCUGAUGGCAAAGUAGAUAGAAAUGAGUCUGAUUCAAUCACAUCUUCUGAGUCUAAUUCUAAUGUAAUUGUCACCAAGGUAUACAAAAUUAAAGUGGACAAAAUACUUGUGAUGAGGAUGUUUGACCUCUAUUCAGGAUGUGGUUCAAUGUCUACCAGACUUUGUUUGGUACUAAUAUGGCAGAUAGAUGGGUUGUAGAUUUAAAUAAAAUAUGCAUUUGAAAGCUUGAAGCUGAAUCUGCUUCAGGAGCUUAUGGAAGGAAUAGAAGUUCCAGGGCUAGUAGAUGCCAUCUGGACCGCCACCCAAUGAUGUCACAAACCUAGUCUACAUCCAUCUGCGUAUCUAAUGCCCCAGGUUCCUCUUCCAACUUAUCGUGGUAGUCCGCAGCCUUACGUUAUACCAACCAUGGAGUACAUGGACCUAUUGGUGGCGUUUCUCAGCCUGGUAGUCGUGGUUUCACUGUUGGUCAGGGGAAUGCGAUUGAUAAUAGCAAUCAUUUAACUAGCAUGAAGAUUGUGAAAGAGGUUUAUAAGUGCAAUGAAGUUUUGAGUUUUUAUUCAAA